AGCAAAUGAAUUUUAACCUUAACAACUUAACCAAACCUUAUUCGAAAAAGGCCUUUGAGAGGCAAACGCUCUCACCUCUCUCCUAAAACAGAAAACCCUAGCCGCCUGAGUAGAUCUGAGGGGGUUGAACUCUCUAUUUGCCGUACGGUGACGUGAUUGUUCUUCUCCCUCCCCCAAGCAGUUUAAUUCCUUUGGUCUUCACGUCAAGCGGCCGCGAUAGAUUCAUCGGAGUUUCAGGAGUGAGCAGGAUUUGUUUUGCCGUCAGCAGUGGUGGGUUCUCCCUCAUUGGACAUAGUCGUGGAUCCAGAUCUGACGAAGGAGAAGCUCAGUAGUCGAGAUUUGGUUUGAAGACGCCGGAGAGUAGCAUCAGUGUUUCUCGUGGUUCACUCAUCAAGAAGGACUCUUUGGCUAUAGCGGAAGUCGGUGAAGGAGAGGUGGUGGUAGUGUUGUUAGUCUCGACGGUUAACGGUUUUGUGAAAAAAAAAAGUUGUCCCAUGGCCACCGCCGCUCUCGCCAUGGGUAUGAGCCGGGCCUGCUUAGAUGGCUGUUGCGGGUUCUGGUUGCAGAGGGUUGAAGUGAGCCGUCGGCCUCUGUAACUGCCGUGAUUUGUGUCCGUCGGACCGGUUUGAACAGAUCAUGCUCAUGGGAGUUCGGAGGCGCCAUAUCUGAGAGAAAGGGGAUAGAUCUGAUGUUUUCAGAUUGCUAAGUUAGGAUCUGUCAACGCAGAGCCGGGCUGUCGGAGAGUUGGGCAUUCCGGGAGGUUUGUAGUGGGUUGGUGGCUCGUCGGAGAGGGACCUUUGACGGAAACCAGAAUCUUCUGUCUUUGGUUUCUGAUUCCUCGAGGUCGCCGCAAAACCGUGAACCUUGAUUCUGCCGGAACUAGUGCUCUGGCUCUUUGUUUCCCGGUCACAUCUUUAGAUUUUGAGCUUCAUAGUUUAAUUCAGCAAAUUCCAAGCUUUUUUCACUUUUCCGGCAUGUUUUCCGUUCUCUCUGUUUUGUAACUGGAUUUUCAAUGUUUUGUUUUCCUGUCCAGCCUAUUAAGAGAUAAAUAAAA